GGUUGUUCCCCUAACAGGUUAUUCCCCUAACAGGUUGUUCCCCUAACAGGUUGUUCCCCUAACAGGUUAUUCCCCUAACAGGUUAUUCCCCUAACAGGUUAUUCCCCUAACAGGUUGUUCCCCUAACAGGUUAUUCCCCUAACAGGUUAUUCCCCUAACAGGUUAUUCCCCUAACAGGUUAUUCCCCUAACAGGUUGUUCCCCUAACAGGUUGUUCCCCUAACAGGUUAUUCCCCUAACAGGUUAUUCCCCUAACAGGUUGUUCCCCUAACAGGUUGUUCCCCUAACAGGUUAUUCCCCUAACAGGUUAUUCCCCUAACAGGUUGUUCCCCUAACAGGUUAUUCCCCUAACAGGUUA